UACGGAGGGUGCAAGCGUUAUCCGGAUUUACUGGGUUUAAAGGGUGCGUAGGUGGGUAGGAAAGUCAGUGGUGAAAUCUUCGGGCUUAACCCGGAAACUGCCAUUGAUACUAUUUAUCUUGAAUACUCUGGAGGUAAGCGGAAUAUGUCAUGUAGCGGUGAAAUGCUUAGAUAUGACAUAGAACACCAAUUGCGAAGGCAGCUUACUACAUAGUUAUUGACACUGAGGCACGAAAGCGAUGGGAUCAAACAGGUAGGUAAUCGAAAACCCAUGGGUU
rnacentral:rRNA from 1 species